UACGAAGGGUGCAAGCGUUAAUCGGAAUUACUGGGCGUAAAGCGCGCGUAGGUGGUUCAGUAAGUUGGAAGUGAAAUCCCCGGGCUCAACCUGGGAACUGCUUUCAAAACUGCUGAGAUAGAGUACGGUAGAGGGUGGUGGAAUUUCCUGUGUAGCGGUGAAAUGCGUAGAUAUAGGAAGGAACACCAGUGGCGAAGGCGACCACCUGGACUGAUACUGACACUGAGGUGCGAAAGC
rnacentral:rRNA from 1 species